CCCCCCCCCCCUUCCUUCAUGUGUAUAUAGUCACUCUUUUAUUCUUUCAACAUUGAUGUCUUGUGUUUGGUCUCUUCCUAUCUCUCUCUCUCUCUCAGCAGAUCAGGAAAUAACAAAAUGACAAAACCUGCUCUUUAAUAUUAGUUGCAGGUUUAGUAUCUACAGAUUGACUUAUUAAUUUAUUUAUUUUAGGCAUCCAAUAGUUAUCAAAAUUUUUUUAAAUUGAUAAAAUUUCAGUCAAUUUGUAAACAUUCAGGUUUUGACAUCAAUUCCUAUAUUACAUGUACCUAUUUAUAAUACAAUACUUUUUGUUUUGUCAAUGUAAGUUAUUAAAAAAAAAAAAAGAAUAAACUUGUUUAACA